ACUCCUACGGGAGGCAGCAGUGGGGAAUAUUGCGCAAUGGACGAAAGUCUGACGCAGCGACGCCGCGUGGAGGAUGAAGGUUUUCGGAUCGUAAACUCCUGUCAAGAGGGAAGAAACCUAUCAUGAAUAAUACUUAUGGUAAUUGACGGUACCUCUAGAGGAAGCACCGGCUAAUUCAGUGCCAGCAGCCGCGGUAAUACUGAAGGUGCAAGCGUUAAUCGGAAUCACUGGGCGUAAAGCGCUCGUAGGUGGCUUUGUAAGUCAGGUGUGAAAGCCCACGGCUCAACCGUGGAAUUGCACUUGAUACUGCAUCGCUAGAGUAUAGGAGAGGGAAGUGGAAUUUCUGGUGUAGGAGUGAAAUCCGUAGAGAUCAGAAGGAACACCCGUGGCGAAGGCGACUUCCUGGACUAUUACUGACACUGA
rnacentral:rRNA from 1 species